AGGAUGAACGCUGGCGGUCUGCUUAACACAUGCAAGUCGAACGGAGUAGCAAUACUUAGUGGCGGACGGGUGAGUAACGCGUGAGAAUCUACCUUCAGGACGGAGACAACAGUUGGAAACGACUGCUAACCCCCGAUGUACCGAAAGGGCAAAUAUUUAUAGCCUGAAGAAGAGCUCGCGUCCGAUUAGCUAGUUGGAGAGGUAAAAGCUCACCAAGGCGACGAUCGGUAGCUGGUCUGAGAGGACGAUCAGCCACACUGGGACUGAGACACGGCCCAGACUCCUACGGGAGGCAGCAGUGAGGAAUUUUCCGCAAUGGGCGAAAGCCUGACGGAGCAAUGCCGCGUGGAGGAUGAAAGCCUAUGGGUUGUAAACUCCUUUUAUCAGAGAAGAAAUAUUGACAGUAUCUGGGGAAUAAGCAUCGGCUAACUCCGUGCCAGCAGCCGC
rnacentral:rRNA from 1 species